CGUGUAGGCGGGCUGAUAAGUCGGACGUGAAAUCCCUGAGCUCAACUCAGGAACUGCAUUCGAAACUGUCAGUCUGGAGUAGUGGAGAGGAAAGCAGAAUUCCUGGUGUAGAGGUGAAAUUCGUAGAUAUCAGGAGGAACACCGGUGGCGAAGGCGGCUUUCUGGACACUUACUGACGCUGAGACGCGAAAGCGUGGGGGAGCCAAACA
rnacentral:rRNA from 1 species